rnacentral:rRNA from 1 species
UGGGGAAUUUUCCGCAAUGGGCGAAAGCCUGACGGAGCAAUGCCGCGUGGAGGUGGAAGGCCCACGGGUCGUCAACUUCUUUUCUCGGAGAAGAAACAAUGACGGUAUCUGAGGAAUAAGCAUCGGCUAACUCUGU